rnacentral:rRNA from 1 species
UUUGUGGAGAGUUUGAUCCUGGCUCAGGACGAACGCUGGCGGCAUGCCUAACACAUGCAAGUCGAACGGAGCACGGAUACUUCGGUGGAAGUGCUUAGUGGCGGACGGGUGAGUAACGCGUGGAUAACCUGCCUGAGAGUGGGGGAUAACAGCCCGAAAGGGCUGCUAAUACCGCAUAACGUUGUUUGGGGACAUCCCCGGACAACCAAAGGAGCAAUCCGCUCUUGGAUGGGUCCGCGUCCGAUUAGCUCGUUGGUGAGGUAAUAGCUCACCAAGGCGACGAUCGGUAGCCGGCCUGAGAGGGUGAACGGCCACACUGGGACUGAGACACGGCCCAGACUC